AGUUAACCUAACCUAUGGAUGGGGAUAACCUCGGGAAACUGAGAAUAAUCCCCGAUAGGCCACAAUGCCUGGAAUGGUUUGUGGCUCAAAUGAUUUAUCGCCGUAGGAUGGGACUGCGGCCUAUCAGCUGGUUGGUGAGGUAAUGGCCCACCAAGGCUAUAACAGGUACGGGCUCUGAGAGGAGGGGCCCGGAGAUGGGUACUGAGACACGGACCCAGGCCCUAUGGGGCGCAGCAGGCGAGAAACCUUUGCAAUGUGCGAAAGCACGACAAGGUUAAUCCGAGUGUCUUCUGCUAAAGAAGUCUUUUGUUAGUCAUAGAACCACUGAUGAAUAAGGGGUGGGCAAGUUCUGGUGUCAGCCGCCGCGGUAAAACCAGCACCUCGAGUGGUCAGGAGGUUUAUUGGGCCUAAAGCAUCCGUAGCCGGUUGUUUAAGUUUUCGGUUAAAUCUAUGCGCUUAACGUAUAGGCUGCCGAAAAUACUGGACAGCUAGGGAGUGGGAGAGGUACACGGUACUCAAUAGGAAGGGGUAAAAUCCUUUGAUCUGUUGAUGACCACCUGUGGCGAAGGCGGUGUACCAGAACACGUUCGACGGUGAGGGAUGAAAGCUGGGGGAGCAAACCGGAUUAGAUACCCGGGUAGUCCCAGCUGUAAACGAUGCAAACUCGGUGAUGCAUUGGCUUGUGGCCAAUGCAGUGCCGCAGGGAAGCCGUUAAGUUUGCCGCCUGGGAAGUACGUACGCAAGUAUGAAACUUAAAGGAAUUGGCGGGGGAGCACCACAAGGGGUGAAGCCUGCGGUU
rnacentral:rRNA from 1 species